rnacentral:rRNA from 1 species
UACGGAGGGAGCAAGCGUUCCUCGGAAUUAUUGGGCGUAAAGGGCGCGUAGGCGAUCCGACAAGUCUGGUGUGAAAGCCCACAUGUUAACUGUGGAAGUGCAUUAGAAACUGUUGGAUUUGAGUUCAGGAGAGGAAAGCAGAAUUCCCGGUGUAGCGGUGAAAUGCGUAGAGAUCGGGAGGAAUACCAGUGGCGAAGGCGGCUUUCUGGACUGACACUGACGCUGAGGCGCGAAAGCCAGGGGAGCAAACGGG